GGAAAGAUGGCAGAGUGGUUUAAUGCAACGGUCUUGAAAACCGUCGAGCCGCAAGGCUCCGUGGGUUCGACUCCCACUCUUUCCGCCA
rnacentral:tRNA from 1 species